rnacentral:ncRNA from 1 species
ACAGCUAGAGUGUCAGAAAAGUUACCACAGGGAUAACUGGCUUGUGGCAGCCAAGCGUUCAUAGCGACGUUGCUUUUUGAUCAUUCGAUGUCGGCUCUUCCUAUCAUUGAGACGCAGAAGUCUCAAAGUGUCGGAUUGUUCACCCGCCAAUAGGGAACGUGAGCUGGGUUUAGACCGUCGUGAGACAGGUUAGUUUUACCCCUACUGACAAAGUAGAUACUGCGACAGUAGUCGAAGUUAGUACGAGAGGAACACUUCGUCCAGAUACUUGGUUAAUGCCGUUGUCUGAAAAGACAGUACGGCGAAGCUACCAUCUGCUGGAUUACGGCUGAACGCCUCUAAGCCGGAAUCCAUGCUGGAUAAGCAGUGUUGUACACCGUGCUCAAUGCUACAAGAAAAAGGCUAGGUCAGGCUUCGGCCUGACCAAAAUUCAAGCUGCUAUACCUCUGGCUGCAUUGACUUGUGGUCAGAGUGUAUGGUGAUCAUAGCAAUUGCAAGUAUUGGGCUCGAUAAAUCCUUUGAAGACGACUUAAUUGCAUCCGGGUAUUGUAAGUGUUGAGAGUAGGCUUAGUCUUACGAUCCACUGAGAUUCAUCCCGUGUUGCGCCGAUUUGU